rnacentral:rRNA from 1 species
GACGGAGGGUGCUAGCGUUGUUCGGAAUCACUGGGCGUAAAGGGCGCGUAGGCGGCCAGGCAAGUCGGCUCGUGAAAGCCCGGGGCUCAACCCCGGAGGUGCGGCCGGGACUGCUUGGCUGGAGGCCGGAAGAGGAGGGUGGAAUACCCAGUGUAGAGGUGAAAUUCGUAGAUAUUGGGUGGAACACCGGUGGCGAAAGCGGCUCUCUGGUCCGGACCUGACGCUGAGGCGCGAAAGCGUGGGGAGCAAACAGGAUUAGAUACCCCCGUAGUCC